rnacentral:rRNA from 1 species
GACAGAGGGGGGCAAGCGUUGCUCGGAAUUACUGGGCGUAAAGGGCGCGUAGGCGGGAUGGCAAGUCGGUCGUGAAAUCCCUCGGCUCAACCGAGGAACGUCGAUCGAUACUGCUGUUCUUGAGGAUUGCAGAGGAGACUGGAAUUCCCCGGUGUAGCGGUGAAAUGUGUAGAGAUCGGGGAGGAACACCGGUGGCGAAGGCGGCCCUCUGGACGGUGACUGGACGCUGAGACGCGAAAGCGUGGGGAGCAAACAGGAUUGAGAAACCC